UACAGAGGUCUCAAGCGUUGUUCGGAUUCAUUGGGCGUAAAGGGUGUGUAGGUGGCGCGCUAAGUCGGGUGUGAAAUUUCGGAGCUUAACUCCGAAACUGCAUUCGAUACUGGCGUGCUUGAGGACUGGAGAGGAGACUGGAAUUCAUGGUGUAGCAGUGAAAUGCGUAGAGAUUAGGAAGAACACCAGUGGCGAAGGCGACUUACUGGACUGUAACUGACGCUGAGGCAUGAAAGUGUGGGGAGCAAACAGG
rnacentral:rRNA from 1 species